UACAGAGGUCUCAACCGUUGUUCGGAUUCAUUGGGCGUAAAGGGUGCGUAGGCGGUCGCGCAAGUCGGAUGUGAAAUCUCGGGGCUCAACCCCGAAACUGCAUUCGAUACUGCGUGGCUAGAGUGCUGGAGGGGAGACUGGAAUUUACGGUGUAGCAGUGAAAUGCGUAGAUAUCGUAAGGAAGACCAGUGGCGAAGGCGAGUCCUCUGGACAGCAACUGACGCUGAGGCACGAAGGCCAGGG
rnacentral:rRNA from 1 species